rnacentral:SRP_RNA from 1 species
UGGCAGACUAGGCUGGCGGGUUAGCUCUCCGCUAUAAUGCUCGUGAGCUUUAAGCAAGCUGCAAGAGGGGGAGUGAUAUUGCUUUUAAAGGGUCUUGAUACAAACGUUGAUGCUCUGUCCUCUCUGAUCUUGCUUUUGCGAAAUGGGUCAGGCCUUGACCGGAGCAGCCCUAAACAGAAGUUAAGAUGCUUAGGGGGUAGCAGAGCUGAGAAUGUAUUGAGGUAGCUCUUUAAGGGGAAUUGAGCAAACCCUUGAGUCUGUCA